CCUACGGGGCGCUGCAGUGAGGAAUAUUGGUCAAUGGGCGGAAGCCUGAACCAGCCAAGUAGCGUGCGGGAUGAAGGCCCUACGGGUCGUAAACCGCUUUUGCACGGGGAUAACACCCUCCACUUGUGGAGGUCUGCAGGUACCGUGCGAAUAAGGGCCGGCUAAUUCCGUGCCAGCAGCCGCGGUAAUACGGAAGGCCCGAGCGUUAUCCGGAUUCAUUGGGCUUAAAGGGAGCGUAGGCGGGCGUUCAAGUCAGCUGUAAAAUCGCGCGGCUCAACCGCGCCCCGCAGUUGAACCUGGACGCAUUGAGUUCACAACAGGCAGGCGGAAUUCGUGGUGUAGCGGUGAAAUGCAUAGAUAUCACGAGGAACCCCGAUUGCGAAGGCAGCCUGCCGGGGUGCGACUGACGCUGAGGCUCGAAGGUGCGGGUAUCAAACAGGAGUAGAUACCCUAGUAGUC
rnacentral:rRNA from 1 species